rnacentral:rRNA from 1 species
UACGUAGGGGGCUAGCGUUGUCCGGAUUUACUGGGCGUAAAGGGCGCGUAGGCGGCCACCGCAAGUCAGUUGUGAAAUCUCUGGGCUUAACCCAGAAAGGUCAACUGAUACUGCGGGGCUAGAGUGCAGAAGGGGCAACUGGAAUUCUCGGUGUAGCGGUGAAAUGCGUAGAUAUGUGGAGGAACACCGAUGGCGAAGGCAGCCCCCUGGGUUAACACUGACGCUCAUGCACGAAAGCGUGGGGAGCAAACAGG